UCGAUCAGUCAGGCGGCUUCAUCCCCUUCCGCGGGGACGCCUCUCCUCUUCCCCCGGGCGUGGCCGAAUACCAGCCUGUAGAGGGUGUCCGCCUGCUCGGUCUUCCCCUCUGCAAUCAGGGACUUUAUCAGGGCCUGACAGCCCUUCUGGUUCGUCGCGCCCCCCUUCUUCUUUAUCUGGCACAGCAGCGUGUACGCCCUCAUCGUCUUCCCCUCCUCAGACAGCGCGUCCAACACACGGUCGUAGGUCGAGAAGUUGAUCUCGCAGUCGGCCUCCAGCCCGAAUUCCGCCAGCUUCAGCGCCGCGAUCGUCUUGCCCUUGUCGCAGAGGGCCAGCAAGAGGCGGUCCACGUCGGGCGCGCACUCGUUCACCCUGAGCAGGUUGAUGCGGCCGAGGGCCUCUUCGACGUGACCCCUCAUGAGGAGCGCCUCCAGGAUCCUGUGAGCCACGUCCAGGUUCUCCCGCACGCCCUUCUCUAUCAUGCUCCUCAUCAGCCGGCUCGCUGUCUGGACCCGGCCGUCCUCGAACAGCGCCUCCAUCACCGACCUGAACAGCGAGGGACUCGGCAGGUGACCUUGCUCGAUCAUGCUGUCCAGGGUCGCCUUCGCCACGGCCGGGUCUCCCUUCCUCAGGAAACUCUCCGCCAGCAUCGCGUACGCGUCGCUCUCCGUGGCGACUCCCCGACGGUUGACGAUGGCGAGUAUGUCGGCGGCGGACUCCGGAGUGUCCUCCCUCGCGUGCCCGCG
rnacentral:lncRNA from 1 species